rnacentral:misc_RNA from 1 species
GGAAGGAUCAUUCCUAACGAAAAGCAUUGGCUUUUUAAACCAGUUGAACUCAAAGCAAGCAAUUGCUUCGUAUCACUUUUUAACCAAGGAUUAUCAACAAAUAGACUGAUGAUAUUGUCAUUCAAUUGACAAGACUAAAAACAACAGCUAUUGGCAACGGAUACCUCGGUUCUCACAACGAUGAAGAACGCAGCGAAACGCGAUAUUUAAUGCGAAUUGCAGAAUUCAGUGAAUCAUCGAAACUUUGAACGCAUGUUGCGCCUUUGGGAUAUUCCUAGGGGCAUGCCUCUUUCAGUGUCGGUAUUUCUAUCUAGUCUUCUAUGAUUAGUAAAUUGAGAGUUGAGUUUGCUCAUCUUUUUAAAAUUUAUGUGAUGUCUGGUACUUGAAUGGUACUCGUGCAAACUAACUGAAGAUGAUUCUUUACAGUUUCUUCCAAAACUAUUUGCUAUGUAUUGCUACUGAACCAACAAAAGACAACACAAUUCGUUUGACCAACCUCAAACAAUACCUAUCUUCAAGACCUGAGUGAGGUAAGACUACCCGCUGAACUUAAGCAUAUUAAUAAGCGGAGGAAAAGAAACUAAAUAGGAUUCCCCUAGUAACGGCGAGUGAAAAGGGAAAAGCCCAACCUGAGAAUCCGACAGUCUACUGCCGGAAUUGUAGGUUACGGAAACAGCAUCAGCGAUAGUCCUGGUUUAAGUGUGUUGGAAAACACCGGCAUAGAGGGUGAUACCCCCGUAUAGAGCUGGGAAUCUAACGCGUACGAUGUGUUUUCCAAGAGUAGGUUUGCUUGAAAGUGCAAACUGAAUUGGGAGGUAAAUUCCUUCUAAGGCUAAAUAUUUGUGAGAGACCGAUAGCGCACAAGUACCGUGAGGGAAAGGUGAAAAGGACUUUGAAAAGAGAGUCAAAAGUACUUGAAAUUGUCAGUAGAUAAGCGAUAGACACUAGUGCAUGGUUAUGCCAUAUCUCUUGUUUGUAAAGGUAUGCUAGUAAGUACAGGUGGUUUACCAGUGUGCUUGCGUGCGGAAUUUAUGAGCAAGUCCUGUGAGUGUGACUUGUGUCACUCUUGAUUGCGGGCGUAGGAAAUGUCUUGAACUGGGUAGCAACACUCGUGUUGUGAUGAGUUCUAGUUUGUACUACGACUGCGAUGACUAGUGACGAAAUAGUUUUUAUCGACCCGUCUUGAAACACGGACCAAGGAGUCUAACAUAUAGGCGAGUCAAUGGGUGUAAAACCCUACGGCGCAAUGAAAGUGAAUGAGUACUUGUACUCUGAGGUGUGCUACCUGUAUAUGGUUUCAACACCGCCCGGCAGAUCCAUUAGUGUUCUGUUCGAGGUAGAGCCUACAUGUUAGGACCCGAAAGAUGGUGAACUAUGCCUGAGCAGGGUGAAGCCAGGGGAAACUCUGGUGGAAGCUCGCAGCGAUACUGACGUGCAAAUCGUUCGUCGGACUUGGGUAUAGGGGCGAAAGACUAAUCGAACCGUCUAGUAGCUGGUUCCCUC